UAUAGCAUUGAGCUUUAGGAUCUGUUCAAAAUUUAUACCAAAAAAAUUAGUGACAAUUACAAAUGAAAACAAAACUUAUAUGUAUGCGAUUGGUGCUGAAACGCAGACAAUAUCUCACAAGAAACAAGGAAGCCUUAAAGACUGGAAACAUUAAACAAGGAUGAAUUUUAAAAUGUUGUCAAACAAGAUCACUCAAUUUAAGGAAGUUGUAUGAACAAGGAAACUACUGAAAGAAGUUGUGUCAAGUGAUAUUUAACAUAACUCUUACAAAAUUUAGACAAUGUGAAUCAAAAGGGGGUACUUUUUUGAUACACCCUGUAUUUUAGAAACUGCAAGGCAUUCAAUCGAUAGCUAGAACAUACUUCUUUAACAAUAUAAAAAAAUGACUUCUUUUGUAGUGUAAUUCACACAAGUCAAUUAGUAAGUCAACCUCUACUAUACUAUUCUUGCCUUUUUUAUUUGACUGCCAUAUUAAUAUAUCUCACUUAUCAGCACAGACAAAAUAAUAAGCCACCCAAGCUGGUAUGAGACCUCACACCAACAUCAAUAAUAUUUCAGGUUUAUUUGUAAAAAUUCAUGUUUUAUUAGUCUUACAUUCCACAAUUAUGUGACAUACAUAACAUGCAGGCAUAUCAGCAUUAAUAUAAGCUAGUUUACAUGGCAUAAGUAGCCCAGAAAUCUGUCUGUGACUAAGGCUUCAACUACCGGUACAUAAUAUAUCCACACAGACAGUUUAAUACUGACUGCAAUAUUAAACUGUCUGCGUGCAUAAACAAUGUAGUCGAAGCAUGAGUCACAGAUAGAUUUCUAGGCUACUUAUGGCAGUAGUUG